rnacentral:miRNA from 1 species
UUGUCUGCUAAGUUUUC